rnacentral:rRNA from 1 species
AACGCGAAGAACCUUACCUGGACUUGACAUACAACUGACCGUGUUAGAGAUAACAUUUUCUCGCAAGAGACAGUUGAACAGGUGCUGCAUGGCUGUCGUCAGCUCGUGCCGUGAGGUGUUGGGUUAAGUCCCGCAACGAGCGCAACCCUUGUCGUUAGUUGCCAGCACGUAAUGGUGGGCACUCUAGCGAGACUGCCUGGGUUAACCAGGAGGAAGGUGAGGAUGACGUCAAGUCCGCAUGGCCUUUAUGUCCAGGGCUACACACGUGCUACAAUGGCCGGUACAGAAGGCAGCAAUACCGCGAGGUGGAGCAAAUCCCAAAAGCCGGCCCCAGUUCGGAUUGCAGUCUGCAACUCGACUGCAUGAAGUUGGAAUUGCUAGUAAUGGCGAGUCAGCAACAUUGCCGUGAAUACGUUCCCGGGCCUUGUA